UACGUAGGGUGCGAGCGUUGUCCGGAUUUACUGGGCGUAAAGGGCGCGUAGGCGGUCGUGACAAGUCACUUGUGAAAUCUCCGGGCUUAACUCGGAACGGUCAAGUGAUACUGUCGGACUAGAGUACAGAAGGGGCAACUGGAAUUCUCGGUGUAGCGGUGAAAUGCGUAGAUAUCGAGAGGAACACCUGCGGCGAAGGCGGGUUGCUGGGCUGAUACUGACGCUGAGGCGCGAAAGCCAGGGGAGCGAACGGGAUUAGAACUACCUUGUC
rnacentral:rRNA from 1 species